CCGGGGCGCCGCUGGACCAGCUGGAAGGCGUGCGUGCGGAACCUCUGAGCGACUGGGAAGAGUGGGCAUUCUUGAGGCUAUCUGCACCUUCUGACUGGGAAAAGAUGGUCAACGUCUUAAAAGGAGUGCUUAUAGAAUGCGAUCCCGCCAUGAAGCAGUUCCUCCUGUACUUGGAUGAGUCUAAUGCACUAGGGAAGAAGUUCAUCAUUCAAGACAUCGAUGACACUCAUGUCUUUGUAAUAGCAGAGUUGGUUAAUGUCCUCCAGGAGCGAGUAGGUGAAUUAAUGGACCAAAAUGCUUUUUCUCUUACCCAGAACUAAAAAUACUAAACAUUGACCACUUAGGAAUUAUAAGCAGCAAAUGUGAAAGACCAUCCCCAUUUCAAAUCAUGUAAUCAGUUAAACCUAGCAGAUUGUUUAGGAGCAUGUUGUAGGAAAGACGGUGG